GAUGAAGAACGUAGCGAAAUGCGAUAAGUAAUGCGAAUUGCAGAAUUUCCGUGAGUCAUCGAAUCUUUGAACGCACAUUGCGCCCUGUGGUAUUCCGCAGGGCAUGCCUGUUCGAGCGUCAUUUCAACCCUCAAGCUCUGCUUGGUGUUGGGCCCUGCCCGCUGCGGCCGGCCCUAAAGACAGUGGCGGUGCCGCCUGGCCCUGAGCGUAGUACAUCUCUCGCUCCAGUGCCCGGUGGUAGCCUGCCAGAACCCCAACUCUCGUGGUUGACCUCGGAUCAGGUAGGGAUACCCGCUGAACUUAAGCAUAUCAAUAAGCGGAGGA
rnacentral:misc_RNA from 1 species